rnacentral:rRNA from 1 species
UGGGGAAUAUUGGACAAUGGGGGGAACCCUGAUCCAGCCAUGCCGCGUGUGUGAAGAAGGUCUUCGGUUUGUAAAGCACUUUAAGUUGGGAGGAAGGGCAGUAAGCGAAUACCUUGCUGUUUUGACGUUACCGACAGAAUAAGCACCGGCUAACUCUGUGCCAGCAGCCGCGGUAAUACAGAGGGUGCAAGCGUUAAUCGGAAUUACUGGGCGUAAAGCGCGCGUAGGUGGUUCGUUAAGUUGAAUGUGAAAGCCCCGGGCUCAACCUGGGAACUGCAUCCAAAACUGGCGAGCUAGAGUAGGGCAGAGGGUGGUGGAAUUUCCUGUGUAGCGGUGAAAUGCGUAGAUAUAGGAAGGAACACCAGUGGCGAAGGCGACCACCUGGGCUCAUACUGACACUGAGGUGCGAAAGCGUGGGGAGCAAACAGG